rnacentral:rRNA from 1 species
UGGCUCAGAACGAACGCUGGCGGCGUGCCUAAUACAUGCAAGUCGAGCGGACAGAUGGGAGCUUGCUCCCUGAUGUUAGCGGCGGACGGGUGAGUAACACGUGGGUAACCUGCCUGUAAGACUGGGAUAACUCCGGGAAACCGGGGCUAAUACCGGAUGGUUGUCUGAACCGCAUGGUUCAGACAUAAAAGGUGGCUUCGGCUACCACUUACAGAUGGACCCGCGGCGCAUUAGCUAGUUGGUGAGGUAACGGCUCACCAAGGCGACGAUGCGUAGCCGACCUGAGAGGGUGAUCGGCCACACUGGGACUGAGACACGGCCCAGACUCCUACGGGAGGCAGCAGUAGGGAAUCUUCCGCAAUGGACGAAAGUCUGACGGAGCAACGCCGCGUGAGUGAUGAAGGUUUUCGGAUCGUAAAGCUCUGUUGUUAGGGAAGAACAAGUGCCGUUCAAAUAGGGCGGCACCUUGACGGUACCUAACCAGAAAGCCACGGCUAACUACGUGCCAGCAGCCGCGGUAAUACGUAGGUGGCAAGCGUUGUCCGGAAUUAUUGGGCGUAAAGGGCUCGCAGGCGGUUUCUUAAGUCUGAUGUGAAAGCCCCCGGCUCAACCGGGGAGGGUCAUUGGAAACUGGGGAACUUGAGUGCAGAAGAGGAGAGUGGAAUUCCACGUGUAGCGGUGAAAUGCGUAGAGAUGUGGAGGAACACCAGUGGCGAAGGCGACUCUCUGGUCUGUAACUGACGCUGAGGAGCGAAAGCGUGGGGAGCGAAC